AUUGAACGCUGGCGGCAUGGUUAAAACAUGCAAGUCGAACGAGAAAGGGGGCAACCCCAAGUAAAGUGGCGGACGGGCGAGUAAUGCAUUUCUAACGUACCUCAAGGUUGGGGAUAACGUGGGGAAACUCACGCUAAUACCUGAUGAACUCCACGGGUCGUAUGGCCCGUGAAGCAAAGUUCCGGCGCCUUGAGAUCGGGGAAUGUCCUAUCAGCUAGUUGGUGAGGUAACGGCUCACCAAGGCGAAGACGGGUAGCCGGUGUGAGAGCACGACCGGCCGCAUCGGGACUGAGACACUGCCCGGACUCCUACGGGAGGCUGCAGUAACGAAUCUUCCGCAAUGGGCGCAAGCCUGACGGAGCAAUGCCGCGUGCGGGAUGAAGCCCUUCGGGGUGUAAACCGCUGUCAGGGGCUCGAAAAAGAUGAUCAGCCCCAGAGGAAGUGGCGACUAACUCUGUGCCAGCAGUCGCGGUAAUACAGAGGCCACGAGCGUUAAUCGGAAUCACGU
rnacentral:rRNA from 1 species